UUCACAAAUGAUCUCUCUAUUUACCAGGAGACACUGGUUGAAACUGGCAAUACCAGCUGCCAGGAUGAAGAACCAGUAGUGGAGGACCUGGGCCCUACCAUCGGCCAGGAAGAGCUGGAAGAGACUGACAACCUCCAAGAACCUAUUGACCCUCUGAAUGAGAUCUGUGAGGAGUCAAUAGAAAAAACUGGCACUGACACCAGCCAGAAUGACUGCCCAGAGGAAGAACAGCUGGACAGUGAACUCAGCCAGAUUGAGGCCGAGGAAAUUGUUGAGGAAGAACAACUGAGUGAGCAGAAGGAGGAGGAGGAUGAUGAGGAGGAGACAUCCUCUAACUCCAGCCACUGCCAGG